rnacentral:siRNA from 1 species
UCCAAGGAAUUGAAUGGCUCA